ensembl:lncRNA PDXDC2P-NPIPB14P PDXDC2P-NPIPB14P readthrough, transcribed pseudogene
CCUAGUGUUCGGUACUGUGCCUUGCACGUGUUUAUACUCAGUAGCUUUUGAAUGAAAGACAGACUUACAUUGCAAAUACAACAGAUUUCCGUGUCUUAUUAGAAACUGCUUUUCUUGAAUUACUACAUGUAACUUUUAAAUGAAAGAUUGGUGAAUAUUUCCAGAUGUUGAAAUACAAAAACAGGUGGCUGAACUUAGAAACCACCAAGUGGCAGGUGACUUUGCCUGACAUCCGUGUUCACAGACCUCCACAGCCCCUGGUGAAAACCACUUCUUCAUAUCCCAUGUCCGUCUAAUUACAUGUGUUAUUUUUUGUCAUUUGCAGAGUCAAUGGUUGCAGGAAAGUUUGAAGAAAGUGAAUUACAUCAAAAUCUUGGUAUGAUCUCGUGAAACCUUGAGAGAAACUGAAUGAGGAAUGAAACUAUUGUUCCUGUUUCACACAGAAGAAAACUGAGGUUGGCACUCAUGAUGAGCCCCUGUUCUCAUUCUGCAAAUGGUGAAGCUCUCUAUCGUCCUGACCCCACAGUUCCUGUCCCAUGACCAGGGCCCGCUCACCAAGGAGCUGCAGCAGCACGUAAAGUCAGUGACAUGCCCAUGCGAGUACCUGAGGAAGGUGAGUGAGUGCAGACAGAUGGGGCCUGGUGCCCUUGAGCAGUUCCCAGGUCUCA